rnacentral:lncRNA from 1 species
ACUUAAAAUAAAAAUAAACAAUUACAAAAAAUAAAAUAAACACUUAUGAUUAUUUGAUAAGCUAUAUCAAGUAAACAAUAAAAUCAUAAUUCCCAAAUUUCAAACAAAGCACUAGGCUUUCAAAAUAAUUCCUACUAUCAUAGUAGGGUCAGUGGUAGUCAUAGUAAUAGUAAUAGAAGCAGUAAUAAUAAUAAUAAUAAUAAUUAGUAAAGGCACCAUAAAAGUAUUUAGGUAAAGACUUCUGAUUAGGGACCCGCCAGUAACUAACCAAUUUGAUAUGAAUAUAAUAUUAUUCUCUUAAAUGUAAAAGUAUUUAACUUUCAUGGAUAAAUCUGUUAUUGGUCGAUUGAUAUUAGAAAUUGCAUCUUAUAACGAACUAAUGAAAGUAUUUUGUGUGUUUGGUAAAAUGUGCGUUUGGUAAAAUAUGCAUUUGAUUGUGAAUCUUUUUAAAAUGUUAUUUGUCAAAAAAGAAACAAUUUUUAAGAAAUACUAAGGUCAUGUCUGGUUUGAAGAAAAUGGAAGAGAGGAAAAGAGUAAAAUGGAGAGAAAGGGAGAAGAGUAGUGAAAUUAUAUUUUAUUGUUUGGUUUGAUAUAACAUUUGAUAAGAAAAUGAAU